rnacentral:misc_RNA from 1 species
GAUGAAGAACGCAGCGAAAUGCGAUACGUAAUGUGAAUUGCAAAUUCAGUGAAUCAUCGAGUCUUUGAACGCACAUUGCGCCCCCUGGUAUUCCGGGGGGCAUGCCUGUCCGAGCGUCAUUGCUGCCCUCAAGCCCGGCUUGUGUGUUGGGCCCCGUCCUCCGAUUCCGGGGGACGGGCUCGAAAGGCAGCGGCGGCACCGCGUCCGGUCCUCGAGCGUAUGGGGCUUUGUCACCCGCUCUGUAGGCCCGGCCGGCGCUUGCCGAUCAACCCAAAUUUUUAUCCAGGUUGACCUCGGAUCAGGUAGGGAUACCCGCUGAACUUAAGCAUAUCAAUAAGCGGAGGA